UGACAUUUUAAUUCCAGUAGCCUGAAACCAUCUUCCCAUUUUUAUCGAACAAAGUUUCACGAAUGUAAAUGUGAAUUUUACUCUUUAAUUCUAUGUUGGUUGCUGUACUACGGGUUUGUUGUUCAAGUGCCAAUGCUUUCAGUGGUUUUAUAUUCUGAAUAAGCACAUCAACACGUAUACACGAUAGUUAAGCCAAGGAUUUGUUCAAUGCUACUGUGGUAUGGUGGUGUAUGCGUACGCGCCUGCAGAAUUGAUAGCUUAGCAGCGUAUAUAAAGAUGCCCAGCGCUGUGUUCAUGUAAACAUAUCAAUACUAUUUGCAGAGGCGUUUGCAGCAAGCGCGUAGUCUCCAACAACAUACACAAACAGAAGCUUAACAAAAGACAAGCCUUGUAUUCUGUCGUAAUUGGUCCCUUUUAUAAUCUGCGUAGUGAUUCACAGUGCUAAAGCAAUCGACUGGCCCCAAUAAUAGAAAGUGAUCAUAUACGAGGUCAAAUACAGUGCGUGUGAGUAACAUUUAGUUGGAAGCAGCAGCAAGUGUCAUAUAAACAAUAUUAGCUGUUUUGCCGCCUCUGUGCGAAAAGCGAAUCGAAUAUUGGCAAAAUGAAAGCUGUGACGGUCAAUUGUGCUACGGGUGCUUCAGUCCCGGCCUCGGUCGCAAGUGGCCGUGUGCGCCAACGGCAUCGGAAGUGCGAAAACGACCCCGAAAUUCAAGUGUAUCUGGCAAAGUUUAAAGACUUGGUACCUUUGAUGGGUCAACAGAAGCGUAAGCUGUCCAAGCUUGAGGUGAUCCAAAACGUGAUUAACUACAUCAGCGAGCUACAGAAUACUUUGGCCGACGCAGACCUUUCUACAGCUGCCGAUUCACGAGGAAUUGUUUGCAAUAAGAAAACCUUUGACUAGGUGCGGCGAUUUGGCCAGCCGCAGCAACGUUUGAGCAGAUCGAUGGUAACGCGAUGUCUUUAUGUUUACUUUCUUCAACUAACACCCAUUCGAAGGACUACUCUUCAAUGUUCGGGGCAAUGCGCGCAAACACGCAAGAGGAAUAAUUAACCAGAUCUCAGUAAGUGACCGAAUACUGUUUGUAUUGGAUUGAUAGCUAUCACCGUAGCAGGGACGAAAUAGCCAGCAUAUAUGGGCAAGCAUAUGCAUUUUAAAAAUCUACCGGGAAUGAAGGAGCAAUCUUAUAACAAACCUCAUAACUAUGCUGUGAUCAAUAGGAAUAUGUGUUGUUUAUUUGCAUAUGCAUGAUUUGAACAUAGUUUACUGAAAUUCAGGAAUAGGAAGUGAAGAGAAAAACUUCCAUUUCAACAAAUAAUACAAUAUUGUUUUACUCUGUUUCCUAGUACUUCGAUUCAACUAUACUUACACCGGUCUCUAAAGUAUUUACGAUUAGAAUUUUCAGUUUUUCAUUCUAGUUUUUUUCACCUAUUGAAAGUAUAGUACAGCGGACGGGGAAUAUGAAAAAUAUAUAUAUAGUAACUAAACACACUAAACUGUCAGUACAAUGUUACGGAAGUGCAGUCAUUUUAGGAGGAAUUUAAAUGUGUAGUAUGAAAUAAAUCUUACUCUGAGUUUACGAAACCUACGCGACAAAA